GUGGGGAAUCUUGCGCAAUGGGCGAAAGCCUGACGCAGCCAUGCCGCGUGAAUGAUGACGGUCUUAGGAUUGUAAAAUUCUUUCACCGGGGACGAUAAUGACGGUACCCGGAGAAGAAGCCCCGGCUAACUUCGUGCCAGCAGCCGCGGUACUACGAAGGGGGCUAGCGUUGCUCGGAAUUACUGGGCGUAAAGGGCGCGUAGGCGGACAGUUUUGUCAGAGGUGAAAGCCCAGGGCUAAACCUUGGAAUGGCCUUGGAUACUGGCGGUCUUGAGUACGGGAGAGGUGAGUGGAACUCCGGGUGUAGAGGUGAAAUUCGUGGAUAUUCGGAAGAACACCAGUGGCAAAGGCGACUCACUGGCCCGAUACUGACGCUGAGGCGCGAAAGCGUGGGGAGCAAACAGGAUUAGAAACCCGUGUAGUC
rnacentral:rRNA from 1 species